rfam:Loxodonta africana unplaced genomic scaffold scaffold_28, whole genome shotgun sequence.
GUCAGGAUGACCGAGCUGUCUAAGGCGCUGUGUUCAGGUUGCAGUCUCCCCUGGAAGCGUGGGUUCGAAUCUCACUUCUGACA